rnacentral:rRNA from 1 species
CAGUAGCCACGGUAAUACGUAGGUCCCGAGCGUUGUCCGGAUUUAUUGGGCGUAAAGCGAGCGCAGGCGGUUAGAUAAGUCUGAAGUUAAAGGCUGUGGCUUAACCAUAGUAUGCUUUGGAAACUGCUUAACUUGAGUGCAGAAGGGGAGAGUGGAAUUCCAUGUGUAGCGGUGAAAUGCGUAGAUAUAUGGAGGGACACCGGUGGCGAAAGCGGCUCUCUGGUCUGUAACUGACGCUGAGGCUCGAAAGCGUGGGGAGCGAACAGGAUUAGAUACCCCAGUAGUCCCUGUCUCUUAUACA